GCAAAUAUGUUAUGGUGAGGGUCAUAAUGCAAUGGGUAAAAGCGCAAAUCUGAAGGUUUAAAUAUAAACAUAUGUUAUAAUAUAACAAGCCAGAAACUAAUUAGGUUAAAUAAUUGUGUUUGCCUAUAUUAUCAAAGAAAACCUUCAGUAAAGAUGAUUUGUGAAAGAUUAGAUAUUCAACUCUAGCUAGCCACAAAUCUUUGUAGAUUUUUGCAAUGAUUUAGCCAAUUAGCUUCGCCACUGGCUCCUGGUCACCCAACUCCUAAAAAGCCUACUGCUAAGGGGCAUACCAAGCCACAACUACACCACCCCUAGCCCAAAUGUUCGUCCGCCUCUACUCACUAGUUAGGAAUUUUUCUAUAUUCUAGAGUCAUUGCUACCCGAGCGACCAGAUCAUCUCUAACAAUCCUUGCUAUUCAGAGUGUGCCACAUGGAGACAAAGCUUUAGGAAAGGCUAUCAAUGCACACAGCUAGGGAAGAGAAUAUAAUAGUGCACAUUAUUACUUACAAAUUCACCUAGCUAGUUGGCUCUGACAUAUCCUCUGCAUUCCAUGCUUACUUAACCCAUAGAUCAUAUGCUCACUUUCUUACUCCACCUGAACCUUCGAUCGGGAUGAAACAUUGAUCCAAAUUAUAAUAUUAUUAUGUAAAAUGGGGUAAAAGAAUAAAGCUGAAAUUCAUAACAAAGACACUGAGAAUUAACCAAAUUCAUGAACCAACUAAUCCUCAGGGCCAGUGACUAAUUUUUAUUUUAUUAUUAUUAUUAUGUGAGAGAGCGGUAGAAAAGUAGAUGAAAACAAGCAUCAGUGAGUAUUUAUUCUUCUCUUAAAGGUUAAUCAGUGCUCUUAAUUCUAACCCCCACGAUUUGACUACCCACUUACUCCCCCAACAGUACACACACCCUUUCUAAGUUUUACUGGCUAUACGCAACAAAUAUUAUUCAUUUACUCACAUUUUUCCUCUUCCAUACUCCGUUUCCGUCCGUCCCCUGAACAGUGAAAAACUAAAGUGUCAGAGCAUUCCCCUUUUCCCUGUGGAACAAGAAACAGUAACCACAAACAGUAGAAGUGGAUCAUCGAAGAGACGGACUGUACGUGUUGGGGAGAAAUCCCAGAAUUUCAGGUUUGGAGGGGCAGUCAGUCAGAGUCAGAGACAACGUACAACAAAUAAGGAAGUGGACAGACAGAGGGACCUGCAACAAAACAGUACAUCAUUUCAGGUAUGGGGAAUUUGAGAGAGAGGGGUGGGAGUGCUCUCUCUAUAAACAAUCCUGACAUCAUAGGGUGCUACUGCUAGCUAGCUGCUAGGGGAGGAGUACCUUAAUUUCAGGGAUUCUGUGUUGAGAAGAAUAAUUGCCAGCUGGAAUAUACUCGGACAUGAAUCUCUGAUCAUUUGUAACUCUCGAAUCAGAUUAAACCAAAUGUAAUCAAGUAUUUCAAAGCAAAUUAGAUCAAUAAGUAUAAAUGUGCCUCACAUAACAUUAGGGUUGGUAAUGGUUCGGACCAAGCCCCGAACCGACCAAAGGACCUACACAUUUAUCAAUCGUCAAUCCGCCCAUGCACCCAACCAGCCUGCCCAAGAUAUAACUAUAGUCUAGGGGUGAGUGCAUAUCAA
rnacentral:lncRNA from 1 species